rnacentral:misc_RNA from 1 species
UGUCAAAUUCAAGAUGGCAGCUUCCAGUCUAACAAGAGUGAUGCUGGGUCAUGUUCGUAAGUCCGGCACCCUCCUGACAAGAAUUACAGGGGUGACAGCUAGUAGAAAGAUCAAAACAGAUGCCCCACAACCAUUAGAAGAUGAAUUUCACCUCAACUAUUUGGAUGGCGAUCGCAAAGGAAUUGUUGUGUUUUCCAUGCGUCGGUUCAAAGCCAGGAAUUCCAUGGGGAGAAACAUCAUCAAGAUGAUGAUCGAGGGCCUGGAGGAGGUGAAAUUUGACACCAGUGUCCGAGCUCUUAUUAUUCGGAGUGAAGUACCUGGAGUGUUCUGUGCAGGUGCUGACUUGAAGGAACGCGCCCAGAUGACCAAUCCACAGGUGGCGUCCUUCGUACAGAAGCUGCGAGGGACUGUCAACGAGAUUCACAACUUUCCCGUCCCCGUCAUAGCAGCCAUAGAUGGCGCUGCUCUGGGUGGAGGUCUGGAGAUGGCCUUGGGCUGUGACCUUCGUGUUGCAUCAACUACAGCCAAGAUGGGUCUGGUGGAGACGAAGCUGGCGAUCAUUCCUGGGGCAGGAGGCACACAGCGGUUGCCGAGGGUGCUUGGACCAGCGCUGGCCAAAGAACUGAUCUACACAGGGCGGGUGUUGGAUGGUCAGCAGGCGGCACAAAUCGGACUGGUCAACCAUUGUGUGGAUCAGAAUGAGGCUGGUGAUGCAGCCUAUCAGAGGUCGCUGGCACUUGCGGAGGAAAUACUACCUCAGGGUCCUAUUGCACUCAGGAUGGCAAAACAGGCAAUCAACAGGGGUUUGGAGGUGGAGCUCGAGUCUGGUCUGAAGUUUGAGGAAGCCUACUACGCCCAGGUUAUUCCAACCAAGGACAGGAUAGAGGGCUUGACAGCUUUUAAAGAGAAACGUCCGCCCAAGUACCAGGGACACUGAGAGACCUGAGGUCAUCUAGAUCAAGAGCGGAUCCAGCAUGUUUCAAAGGGAGGGGUCCAAAAUAUCAAAAUCCUCUCUAUCAAUUUUACUGCCUACAACAUACUACAGUUGGUUUUCAAAAGGGGGGUGGGCUGGACUCCCUGGACCCCCCUGGACCCCCUUGGACCCCCUGGAUCCGUCUAUGUAGAUGGUGGACCUCACACGUGUGGUUGAAGUGUGUUUGAAUGUUACCUGAAUCUAUUUUGAGGUCAAAUGUAUCUAGACAGGUAUUUUGUAUUUGGGUUAGCGAAAGACACCAGUGUGAGAUGCCAUGUAUCAUCCAAUAUCAUUACUCGGACUUAUUCAGAUUGUACGCAGUUAUAACCAGUGUCUGGAGUGUAAAUAGCACAGCUAUCCAGCAAAAUAAUCAGACAACUUUCUGAUGAACAGACAAAUAUAUAUCUGGGUCGGGCUGGCUACUUGUGGUAGUUCCCACCUCGGACAAAUAUUUCCCAGAGUCAUCUCCUGAAGCUACCAGUAUUCGAAAUAAGCGCCGGUCUGUAGGCCUGUGAGAGGUAGAUCUCAUGAUGGCGCCGUGGUUUCAAGGUGGUAUGGGUCUUAUGGCCGGCCUGUAGGCCUGUGAGAGGUAGAUCUCAUGAUGGCGCCGUGGUUUCAAGGUUGUAUGGGUCUUAUGGCCGGCAGUACAUUUACGUGUCUAUUUAUUUGUCCUGACUGACAGCAUUCAUGUCAUGAACAAGAAUCGGUUCUUUGAAGGGACAGGAACAUGGUGAAAUAUCUGGAAUAUUUUGUAUCAACUCGGUUAGAAUUCCGGGACACUUGUAGUGUUCUGCAUGCAACAGCAGACUGCAGUGAGGUUUCUGUGACCCAGGUCCUGCCCUACAGUCCGCGUCAACCCCCUGAACCUCAAAUUCAAAUUCCGGGUUAUUAUUUAAAGGGUGCUUCAGUCAUUAAACACUGUUAUGAUAUCGAA